AAACGAACAGGAGUUGAGAAGAGUUGCUUAUGAAAGAUACGCGCGGAAUCGAACAUUAGAGAUUUUCCGUAAUCGCGUGUUAGGAUAUCGCGACAUGCGUAUCCGUGAAAUUUCGUUUCAUACCUUAUUCUAAUUUUCGCGAGCUCACGGCGCCCGAAGGCAAUCGGCCGUACGAGCAUUACUUUGUGAAACACUGCGAGAGAACAUCGCCGGGAAAGACGUCGGUAAAAACGUGUGACGACACGUUUCGAAACUCUGAGUGUGCGAAUGUGUGAUGCGCGUAGAAAUUAAGAAAACGAUUAUACGGAAUAAUUAUGAAACGCGUAAUAACGUUUGUAUGUGAUACGAAUAAACUUGUGAUAUGUUUUAAAAACUAACAACCGAGUUAUUAUUCACGAGAAACCUUUCACGCGCAAUAUACGCGAGCGACACACCCACACUUUCAGCGAUUUACCAGCGUAAUUCAAGAGUCGGGCGAUCAACCGUGGACGUGACACGAACGUUCGAGCAGACGAGACGGCAGCCGAGAUACCGUAACAAAGGACCAUGCAAAAACGAUACUGAGAGGAAGGGCGAUCCACUGGGCAAUAUCGAGCACGCGCAACGCCACAAAGAGGGACGAGGAGAGAGCCGCCACACCAAUUACACAAAAUGUGCGGGAAAAAGAGGAAGAAAAAGAGAGACAAAACGAUGCAGAGAUACCCGGAACAUCCGAGCGAGCGAUCACACCGGGAAACUACGAAGCAAGGAGAGUCAGGGAGAGACCAGCCCGACGCAUCCCCGCUGACACAUACCAACAACGACAACACGAGGCACGACAUAGAACGUGACAAAAUGUAACAACAUAAACACCCGUGUAAUUAAAACAUAUUCAAGAUCAAACAAUACAAUUAUAAAAUCCGAGCGAAACACAACAGCAAGCGAUAUAGAAUUAUGCGAGAUAGAAACAAACGAUAGGCAGACCAACAAUAUAUUAACAAACACAUCAGAAGACGGAAAAUCGGGUAAAUUAAAUUUAGAUUAAAUGGAGCGCAUAAAAACAAACAUUAUUGACCCAUGCAAAGUAUACAUAGGUAGAUAUAUUCGGUAACAAAAUUCCACUAAGAACAAAAAA